GUAUUGAAAAGAGUUACACAGAAGAAGGUAUUGAAAAGAGUAACACAGAAGAAGGUAUUGAAAAGAGUAACACAGAAGAAGGUAUUGAAAAGAGUAACACAGAAGAAGGUAUUGAAAAGAGUAACACAGAAGAAGGUAUUGAAAAGAGUAACACAGAAGAAGGUAUUGAAAAGAGUUACACAGAAGAAGGUAUUGAAAAGAGUAACACAGAAGAAGGUAUUGAAAAGAGUUACACAGAAGAAGGUAUUGAAAAGAGUAACACAGAAGAAGGUAUUGAAAAGAGUUACACAGAAGAAGGUAUUGAAAAGAGUUACACAGAAGAAGGUAUUGAAAAGAGUUACACAGAAGAAGGUAUUGAAAAAAGUUACACAGAAGAAGGUAUUGAAAAGAGUUACACAGAAGAAGGUAUUGAAAAGAGUUACACAGAAGAAGGUAUUGAAAAGAGUUACACAGAAGGAAUUUGAAAAGAGUAACACAAGAAGAAGGAAUUUGAAGAUAAAUAACACAAGAAGAAGAAAUGUGAAGUAACACCGGAAGGAAAAUGCAGAGAAGUAACACUAGAAAAAUGAAAAUGGAAAUGAAAAGAAUCAUCCACCUUUCUGCCCAAACCAACAUCACAAAAUUAUGGGCGAGUCUCUUCUGGGAGGAAAGCGGCUCGUUCAGACCCAGGAACACCAGAAAGGAUGAUAGAAACAUCAAGAAAAGGAAAACAAAAAAGUCAUCCACCUUUCGGCCCCUGGGGCCGCAGGGUGGGUGACGGGUGAAUCUCCUCUGGGGAGAAGGAGGCUAACCCACACAGUCAAGAUAGAGGAUAGACAAAGGAAAUUAAAUCAUCGAGAAAAGAAAAUUAAUUUACAAUAUCAAGAAAAUAACUAAAAAGU